rnacentral:sRNA from 1 species
CCGGUCCCCAGGUGCUGCGAUAAGCGGUUGUGGACCCGCAUUGACCUGAACCACUGCAAGUCUAUCACACCCCUGAUGCUGAGUGGCAUCAUCCGGCGACAGCCUGUCUCCCUCGACCUCAGCUGGACCAAUAUCUCCAAGAAGCAGCUGAGCUGGCUCAUCAACCGGCUGCCUGGGCUCCGGGACUUGGUGCUGUCAGGCUGCUCAUGGAUCGCGGUCUCGGCCCUUUGCAGCUCCAGUUGUCCGCUGCUCCGGACCCUGGAUGUCCAGUGGGUGGAGGGACUAAAGGAUGCCCAGAUGCGGGAUCUCCUGUCCCCGCCCACAGACAACAGGCCAGGUCAGAUGGACAAUCGGAGCAAGCUCCGGAACAUCGUGGAGCUGCGACUGGCAGGCCUGGACAUCACAGAUGCCUCCCUGCGGCUCAUCAUCCGCCACAUGCCCCUGCUCUCCAAGCUCCACCUCAGUUACUGUAACCAUGUCACCGACCAGUCCAUCAACCU